GGCGAUGAUGCAUAGCCGAGUUGAGAGACUGAUUCGGCCACAUUUGGGACUGAGACACGGCCCCAAACUCCUACGGGAGGCAGCAGUAGGGAAUCUUCCACAAUGGACGCAAGUCUGAUGGAGCAACGCCGCGUGAGUGAAGAAGGUUUUUCGGAUCGUAAAGCUCUGUUGUUGGUGAAGAAGGAUAGAGGUAGUAACUGGCCUUUAUUUGACGGUAAUCAACCAGAAAGUCACGGGCUAACUACGUGCCAGCAGCCGCGGUAAAU
rnacentral:rRNA from 1 species